rnacentral:antisense_RNA from 1 species
AUCCAUUGGCCGUGUGAGGCGGGCUUAUGUCCGGCCGGAACCCUCGGAGGCCGGCUUGCGACCCUCGCACGGUCCACCACCCAA